rnacentral:misc_RNA from 1 species
CCGAGUUCAUGCCCUCACGGGUAGAUCUCCCACCCUAUGUUAUAUUACCUUUGUUGCUUUGGCGGGCCGUCAGGCUUCGGUCAGGCUACCGGCCCCGGCUGGUAAGCGCCCGCCAGAGGACCCAAAACUCUGAAUUAUAGUGUUGUCUGAGUACUAUAUAAUAGUUA